rnacentral:misc_RNA from 1 species
CUUUAAGGCUAAAUAAAUCUCUCUUGUAAACAUUAACUAACAGCUUGAGUAAAAAUUCAGCUCAUUUUGACUUGUGAUUUGAAAUUUUUCUGUUUGAUUGAGCUGCAUUUCGAUUUACCCAGCUUCCUGAUUGGUCUUAGUUUAGUUGGUUCCAUAAAACCAUUUUCAGUGUGAGAGGAUCCACAACAGCCCCAUUUUGGUCACGACAAGCAAGACUCUCAAGUGUGAGAGGAUCAAACUGAUAAUGCCAAAGCUUGCAAGACCAAUCCACAACAGCCCCAUUUUGGUCACGACAAGCAAGACUCUCAAGUGUGAGAGGAUCAAACUGAUAAUGCCAAAGCUUGCAAGACCA